CGAAGGUAGCAUAAUCAGUAGUCUUUUAAUUGAAGGCUUGAAUGAAUGGUUGGACGAGAAGUAAGCUGUCCUUUUAUAUAAUUUGAAUUUAACUUUUAAGUGAAAAGGCUUAAAUUAUUUAGUGGGACGAUAAGACCCUAUAAAACUUGAUAUAAGUUUAAUUUAAUUUGUGAUUUAAGUGAAGAGCAAUUUUGUUAAAUUUAUAUUUUGUUGGGGAGANGUAGAUAUAAAGUGUAACUGUCUAUUAAAUUUAAUAGUAAUAACUAAUUUUUGAUCCUUCUGUGGGGAUUGGGAGAAUA
rnacentral:rRNA from 1 species